rnacentral:tRNA from 1 species
GGCGUGUUGGCAGAGUGGAAAUGCAGCGGAUUGCAAAUCCGUAGAUGGUGGUUCGAAUCCAUCACACGCCU